rnacentral:rRNA from 1 species
CCUACGGGUGGCAGCAGUGGGGAAUAUUGGACAAUGGGCGAAAGCCUGAUCCAGCCAUGCCGCGUGUGUGAAGAAGGCCUUCGGGUUGUAAAGCACUUUCAGUGGGGAAGAAAGCCUUGGGGCUAAUACCCUCGAGGAAGGACAUCACCCACAGAAGAAGCACCGGCUAACUCCGUGCCAGCAGCCGCGGUAAUACGGAGGGUGCGAGCGUUAAUCGGAAUUACUGGGCGUAAAGCGCGCGUAGGCGGUCUGAUAAGCCGGUUGUGAAAGCCCCGGGCUCAACCUGGGAACGGCAUCCGGACCUGUCAGGCUAGAGUGCAGGAGAGGAAGGUAGAAUUCCCGGUGUAGCGGUGAAAUGCGUAGAGAUCGGGAGGAAUACCAGUGGCGAAGGCGGCCUUCUGGACUGACACUGACGCUGAGGUGCGAAAGCGUGGGUAGCAAACAGGAUUAGAUACCCCGGUAGU